AAAUACAUUUCUGACUUAGAAACUUCAGAUAGAAUUUUUUUGUCCAUGAUGACAACCGAAGAAAAUGUGUCAUCCCUAAACCUAACCUUAACCCCUAACAACGCUGAAACCUAAGCUGACCUUAAAGCCCAAACUAGAACCCUGAAUCCCAAACCUGAAAUGGAACCCAAAGCCUGUACCUGAGCCCUGAAUCGAAGCCCUGAACCACGAACCCAAACCCUAAACCAGACCUCCAAGUCAUGAACCCUGAACCCAAAUCUCAGCAUGAAGCCAAACCCCAAAUUUGACCUUGAACUUUAUCCCCUAAGCCCUGAGUCUUAAAGCCUAAAUCAUAAACUUAAAGCCCUAAACUAUAACUCUGUUCCCUUGUCCUUCACUCUAAAUCCUCACCCUAACACUAAACCCAAAGCCUGAUCUAGAACUCUGACUAAAACCUGAACCUGAACCCAAAUUCAAACCCUUCACCACACUUUGCUUAUGCACUUGCCAUUGAUGGAUAUUUGCAGUUUCUACCUUUUGAUUCUUGUGAACAUUGUUUGGGUUGGGGGCUAGGGUUAGGGUCUUGGAUUAGGGUAGGGUCCAGGCUUGAGACCAAGUUGAGGUCAGAGUGUGGGUCUGCAUCAGGGCCAUGUUCAGUGCCACUGUUUGGGUCAAGGACUGUUGUAAUUCCACAUUGUUUCCAAUUCAUUGUACCUUAGCUAUUUGGGGGGAAGUUGGGGGGUAUUGGGCUCCAUGCAGCUUGAAUUUCCGGAAUGAAAUGGCUUCAGCUGGACCCCGGGAGGGAGCAGGACCUUCCACUGAAGGGUGAGCUCCCACAGUCCUGCACUGCCUUCCACCGCCUGCAGAGGGCGCCAGACCGCAGCUCCCGCCCUGAGCCCAGGCUGCUGCAGCCACAGCUGGGACCAGAGCCCCGCCUCUUCAGGACCCACUGUGGAGAAUUCUGGAGAAUGUGGGGCGCCUCCCGCUCUGACAGGACAAGCUGAGGAGGGUGUGGCUCUGCAGCCACACUGACCGGACCCGUUGUGGAGGACGCGCCCACACUGGCAGCAGUCCAACUUCCUAAGGACCAGACGCUGGAGGAGAUGUUGAAGCCCUGACCCUCAAGGAGUGCCAUCAGGAGGUAUGGGCUUUGAGAGGUGAUGAGGUCAUGAGAUUGGAACACUUGUGCAUGAGAUAAAAGCACUUCUGAGAAAAGACCUGAGAGAUUGUUCUGCCAGCUGUCAUCCAUGCAAGGCUACAACAGAAAUAUGGGCAUCUAUAGAUAAUGAAGCAGUCUCUUGCUAGAUAUCAGAUCUCCCAGGAUCUUGCUUUUGGACUUCUCAGUCUCUAGAACUGAAAUGAAUAGUACAUGUUUUGCUGUUUCAGCCACCCACUCUGUCAUCAUUUGUUGCAGCAACUUGAACUGAAUAAGGCAGAGCCCAAGUCCUGGUUAAUCCCUGCUUCUACUCAUUUCCCCUCAGAAAGAGCUUCUAAUCCAGAACUGACCUCUGCUUUCCAUACACGUGCUUCAGACUCCUUCAGUGAGAGCCCAGACUUUGUAAAAGACUCCUCCCUCAUGGCAACCAGCAUUCUGUGACUCCUGAGGAAUGUCCUCCCUGACUGUAUUGAGUCAAUCAAUCUGAUUUUGAUUCUGGAGUCCCAGGAUCAAGGACUGCAUCAGGCUCCCAGCUUCAUGGGGAGUCCGCUUCUCCCUCUGACCUUCUCCCCUCUCAUGCUCUCUCACUCUCUCUCUCUCUC